rnacentral:miRNA from 1 species
ACAAAAUUCCUAUAGGAAUUUUUCCUAUAGGAAUUUUUCCUAUAGGAAUUCCUAUAGGAAUUCCUAUAGGAAAAAUUCCUAUAGGAAUUUUG